rnacentral:tRNA from 1 species
AAUUGGCUCAGUGGUUCAGAGCAUAUACGUUAGGCUUGAGACCAAGGGGUCCCGGGUUCGAAUCCUGACUGGGGCA